rnacentral:rRNA from 1 species
UGGGGAAUAUUGCACAAUGGGCGCAAGCCUGAUGCAGCCAUGCCGCGUGUGUGAAGAAGGCCUUCGGGUUGUAAAGCACUUUCAGCGAGGAGGAAGGUGGUGGACUUAAUACGUUCAUCAAUUGACGUUACUCGCAGAAGAAGCACCGGCUAACUCCGUGCCAGCAGCCGCGGUAAUACGGAGGGUGCAAGCGUUAAUCGGAAUUACUGGGCGUAAAGCGCACGCAGGCGGUUUGUUAAGUCAGAUGUGAAAUCCCCGGGCUCAACCUGGGAACUGCAUUUGAAACUGGCAAGCUAGAGUCUCGUAGAGGGGGGUAGAAUUCCAGGUGUAGCGGUGAAAUGCGUAGAGAUCUGGAGGAAUACCGAUGGCGAAGGCGGCCCCCUGGACGAAGACUGACGCUCAGGUGCGAAAAGCGUGGGGAGCAAAACAGGAUUAGAUACCCUGGUAGUCCACGCUGUAAACGAUGUCGAUUUUGGAGGUUGUGCCCUUGAGGCGUGGCUUCCGGAGCUAACGCGUUAAAUCGACCGCCUGGGGAGUACGGCCGCAAGGUUAAAACUUAAAUGAAUUGACGGGGUC